rnacentral:rRNA from 1 species
GACGAACGCUGGUGGCGUGCUUAACACAUGCAAGUCGAACGGAAAGGCCCUGCUUGCAGGGUACUCGAGUGGCGAACGGGUGAGUAACACGUGGGUGAUCUGCCCUGCACUUCGGGAUAAGCCUGGGAAACUGGGUCUAAUACCGGAUAGGAGCCAUUUUUAGUGUGAUGGUUGGAAAGUUUUUUAGGUGUCGGAUGAGCUCGCGGCCUAUCAGCUUGUUGGUGGGGUAAUGGCCUAACAAGGCGGCGACGGGUAGCCGGCCUGAGAGGGUGGACGGCCACAGUGGGACUGAGAUACGGCCCAGACUCCUACGGGAGGCGGCAGUGGGGAAUAUUGCACGAUGGGCGCAAGCCGGAUGCGGCGACGCCGCGUGGGGGAUGACGGCCUUCGGGUUGUAAACCCCUUUCGCUAGGGACGAAGCAUUUUGUGACGGUACCUAGAGAAGAAGCACCGGCUAACUACGUG